AACGAAGUUUAAUCUAGCAAAUUAAACAAAAAGCCGUCUUAUGCAGAACUAAAUGUAGCUGGAAUACAGGAAGACCGUUCCAUAAGUUAGUUCAUAAGCCAUCUUA
rnacentral:ncRNA from 1 species